UUCCGUAGGUGAACCUGCGGAAGGAUCAUUACAGUAGUCGCCCGGGUUGCCGCAAGGCCUCCCGGGUAACCUACCACCCUUUGUUUAUUACACUUUGUUGCUUUGGCAAGCCUGCCCUCGGGCUGCUGGCUCCGGCCGGCGAGCGCUUGCCAGAGGACCUAAACUCUGUUUGUCUAUACUGUCUGAGUACUAUAUAAUAGUUAAAACUUUCAACAACGGAUCUCUUGGUUCUGGCAUCGAUGAAGAACGCAGCGAAAUGCGAUAAGUAAUGUGAAUUGCAGAAUUCAGUGAAUCAUCGAAUCUUUGAACGCACAUUGCGCCCCCUGGUAUUCCGGGGGGCAUGCCUGUCCGAGCGUCAUUACAACCCUCAAGCUCAGCUUGGUGUUGGGCCCCGCCGCCCCGGCGGGCCCUAAAGUCAGUGGCGGUGCCGUCCGGCUCCGAGCGUAGUAAUUCUUCUCGCUCUGGAGGUCCGGUCGUGUGCUCGCCAGCAACCCCCAAUUUUUUUCAGGUUGACCUCGGAUCAGGUAGGGAUACCCGCUGAACUUAAGCAUAUCA
rnacentral:rRNA from 1 species